GAUGAACGCUGGCGGCGUGCCUAAUACAUGCAAGUCGAACGAAACUUCUUUAUCAUCGAGUGCUUGCACUCACCGAUAAAGAGUUGAGUGGCGAACGGGUGAGUAACACGUGGGCAACCUGCCCGAAAGAGGGGGAUAACACUUGGAAACAGGUGCUAAUACCGCAUAACCAUGAACACCGCAUGGUGUUCAUGUGAAAGGUGGUUUCGGCUACCGCUUUCGGAUGGGCCCGCGGCGCAUUAGCUAGUUGGUGGGGUAAAGGCUUACCAAGGCAAUGAUGCGUAGCCGAACUGAGAGGUUGAUCGGCCACAUUGGGACUGAGACACGGCCCAAACUCCUACGGGAGGCAGCAGUAGGGAAUCUUGCGCAAUGGGCGAAAGCCUGACGCAGCGACGCCGCGUGAGUGAUGAAGGCCUUCGGGUUGUAAAGCUCUGUGGGGCGAGACGAAUAAGUGCGGCCGAAUACGCUGUAUGAUGACGGUAUCGCCUUAGCAAGCACCGGCUAACUCUGUGCCAGCCGCCGCAGUAA
rnacentral:rRNA from 1 species